AUUGAACGCUGGCGGCAGGCUUAACACAUGCAAGUCGAGCGGAGUGAUGGUGCUUGCACUAUCACUUAGCGGCGGACGGGUGAGUAAUGCUUAGGAAUCUGCCUAUUAGUGGGGGACAACAUCUCGAAAGGGAUGCUAAUACCGCAUACGUCCUACGGGAGAAAGCAGGGGAUCACUUGUGACCUUGCGCUAAUAGAUGAGCCUAAGUCGGAUUAGCUAGUUGGGGGGGUAAAGGCCUACCAAGGCGACGAUCUGUAGCGGGGCUGAGAGGAUGAUCCGCCACACUGGGACUGAGACACGGCCCAGACUCCUACGGGAGGAAGCAGUUGGGAAUAUUGGACAAUGGGGGGAACCCUGAUCCAGCCAUGCCGCGUGUGUGAAGAAGGCCUUAUGGUUGUAAAGCACUUUAAGCGAGGAGGAGGCUCUUUUGGUUAAUACCCAAGAUGAGUGGACGUUACUCGCAGAAUAAGCACCGGCUAACUCUGUGCCAGCCGCCGCCGUAA
rnacentral:rRNA from 1 species